CACGGGGGGAGCAAGCGUUGUUCGGAAUUACUGGGCGUAAAGCGCGUGUAGGCUGCAAUGUAAGUCGGAUGUGAAAGCCCUUGGCUCAACCAAGGAAGUGCAUCCGAUACUGCGUCGCUUGAGUGUCGGAGGGGGUGGCGGAAUUCCCGGUGUAGAGGUGAAAUUCGUAGAUAUCGGGAGGAACACCUGUGGCGAAGGCGGCCACCUGGACGAUAACUGACGCUGAGACGCGAAAGCGUGGGUAGCAAACAGG
rnacentral:rRNA from 1 species